rnacentral:rRNA from 1 species
CCUACGGGAGGCAGCAGUCGGGAAUCUUGCACAAUGGGCGAAAGCCUGAUGCAGCAACACCGUGUGAGCGAUGAAGGCCCUAGGGUCGUAAAGCUCUGUUGUUAGGGACGAAGGGCGAGGGGUUAAUAGCCCUUAGCCUGACGGUACCUUUCGAGGAAGCCCCGGCUAACUACGUGCCAGCAGCCGCGGUAAUACGUAGGGGGCGAGCGUUGUCCGGAAUUAUUGGGCGUAAAGAGCGUGUAGGCGGCUUGGUAAGUCUGCUGUGAAACCUUGGGGCUCAACCCCAAGCGUGCAGUGGAUACUGUCAAGCUAGAGGAUGGUAGAGGCCAGUGGAAUUCCCGGUGUAGCGGUGAAAUGCGCAGAUAUCGGGAGGAACACCAGUAGCGAAGGCGGCUGGCUGGGCCAUUCCUGACGCUGAGACGCGAAAGCUAGGGGAGCGAACAGGAUUAGAUACCCUGGUAGUCCUAGCCGUAAACGAUGAACACUAGGUGUGGGGGGAGUCGAAUCCCUCCGUGCCGAAGCCAACGCGUUAAGUGUUCCGCCUGGGGAGUACGGCCGCAAGGCUAAAACUCAAAUGAAUUGACGGGG